UUUCCGUAGGUGAACCUGCGGAAGGAUCAUUGUCGAAACCUGCUCGAACGGAACGAUCUGCGAACCGGUGCGAAUAAACUUGCGGGAGGAGGGCACAAAACCCCUCUUCCAUCGCGACCGAGGCGAAUCCGGUGCUCGCGCUCCGGACUCUAGCCCUCGGCAGCGAAUAACACAAACCCGGCGCGAAUUGCGCCAAGGACUCCAAUUGAAUGAUACGCGCUGCCCACGCCCGGGAUUCGGUAUCGUGAGGCGGCGUUGAUGUCGUCGUAUAUAGUAUUCUUAACGACUCUCGGCAACGGAUAUCUCGGCUCUCGCAUCGAUGAAGAACGUAGCGAAAUGCGAUACUUGGUGUGAAUUGCAGAAUCCCGUGAACCAUCGAGUCUUUGAACGCAAGUUGCGCCCGAAGCCAUCAGGUUGAGGGCACGCUUGCCUGGGUGUCACACAAUGUCGCCGUCGUGCCUCGCAUCGUCGGCGGAGAAUGGGCUCCCGUGAACUUCAGCGUCGCGGUUGUCCCAAAGGAACGAGCCACGGCAAAGUGCAGCCACGGCAUUCGGUGGAAAGAGGCGCAACAGUUGCUUUCAAAACACCGCCGUGCGCGCGCUUCGCUGUUCGGACGCGAACGACCCCGAGAUGGCAUCGACUAUCUCUCAGUAUGCGACCCCAGGUCAGGCGGGAACACCCGCUGAGUUUAAG
rnacentral:rRNA from 1 species